AUGGCGCCAUCGUUCGUGUGGUCGAGGCGCGCGCUGGUCGUGAUGGUGGUGGUGGCGGCGCAGUCGUCGGAGGCGGCGGCGAGGAGCGGCGGGGCCGACGAAGACGAGCUUCGGUUCCCGGGGUUCCCGGGCGGCAGGCCGCGCAACCCUGGCUUCCCGGGGGUGCCCGGGGGCAGGGUAGCGUCUCCCCCAGCGUCUCGCUUCAAGCCGUCCUCGCCGCCGCCGUCGCCGCCGCCGCCGCAGCCGUCACCCGCUGCUAGUGCUAGUCCAGCGUGCAGCAGCGGGGCGCCUUCGCAGCCGGCGCUGCAGCCGCUGCCCGGGUUCCCGGGCCUGCAGCAGCCGGGCAACGGCGGCGGGUCGCCGUCGUCGCCGGCGGACUGCGUGACGCCGCUGGCGGGGCUGAUGACGUGCGCGUCGUUCCUGACGGGGAGCGAGCCGGACACCCCGACGCCGCAGAGCGAGUGCUGCAGCGGGCUGGGCAUGUUCCUCAACAGCACGGCGGCGGUGGACGACCGCUCGCUGCGGUGCCUGUGCCCGGUCAUCCUCGGCGACGUCAACCGCAUGCUGCCCAAGCCCAUCGACCCCGUCCGCAUGAUGUACCUCCCCAUCUCCUGCGGCGUCGUCCUCCCGCCUCAAGUCCUCUUCAUCUGCUUCACUGGACAGCCAACGCCACCCGUGGUCUCGCGCAUCCCCGACUCCUGGAUGACGCCAGCUUCAUCAGCAUUGACACCUUGA
rnacentral:rRNA from 1 species